rnacentral:sRNA from 1 species
GGGGAUAUUAGCUAACUACAAGACUUAACAAAUGAGGUGAGGCUGGAGUGUGGGCUCACUGUAUGGCCAUAGCCUGACUGGGCCUCAGUUUACCUGCUGCGCGUAUUGUGGAUGGGCCCCUGAUGACAAAGAAGAUCCUGAUACAGCCUGAUGACUUGAGGCUUUUCUCUGUGCUGGGGGCCUGCACCCUUUCCCUCCUCCGGAGUCAGCGCACGGCCCAGACCAGAUCGCCCUGUGGGAUUUGAAGGCGUUGCCAGCCCUGCUCUAGGCUCUGCGGAUUUAACCACAAAAACAACAGACCCAAAUCCUGGCCCUCAAGGAGGCCAUUGGCAAAUCUCUGUGGCUGUGGGCUGCUGGGAGUGGGCAUCUGGCUCUCCGUGUCCCAAGGCAACUUUGCCACCUUCUCCCCCAGCUUCCCUUCGUUGUCUGCAGCCAACCUGGUCAUCGCCAUAGGCACCAUUGUCAUGGUGACGGGCUUCCUCGGCUGCCUGGGGGCCAUCAAGGAAAACAAGUGCCUCCUCCUCAGCUUUUUCAUCGUCCUGUUGGUCAUCCUCCUAGCAGAGCUGAUCUUACUCAUCCUCUUCUUUGUCUACAUGGACAAGGUGAACGAGAACGCCAAGAAGGACCUGAAGGAAGGCCUGCUGCUGUACCACACCGAGAACAACGUGGGGCUGAAGAACGCCUGGAACAUC